rnacentral:rRNA from 1 species
AGUGAACGCUGGCGGUAGGCCUAACACAUGCAAGUCGAACGGCAGCACAGUAAGAGCUUGCUCUUACGGGUGUCGAGUGGCGGACGGGUGAGGAAUACAUCGGAAUCUACUUUUUCGUGGGGGCUAACGUAGGGAAACUUACGCUAAUACCGCAUACGACCUACGGGUGAAAGCAGGGGAUCUUCGGACCUUGCGCGAUUGAAUGAGCCGAUGUCGGAUUAGCUAGUUGGCGGGGUAAAGGCCCACCAAGGCGACGAUCCGUAGCUGGUCUGAGAGGAUGAUCCGCCACACUGGAACUGAGACACGGUCCAGACUCCUACGUGAGGCAGCAGCGGGGAAUAUUGGACAAUGGGCGCAAGCCUGAUCCAGCCAUACCGCGUGGGUGAAGAAGGCCCUCGGGUUGUAAAGCCCUUUUGUUGGGAAAGAAAAGCAGCAGGUUAAUACCCCGCUGUUCGGACGGUACCCAAAGAAUAAGCACCGGCUAACUCCGU